rnacentral:rRNA from 1 species
AUACGUAGGUGACAAGCGUUAUCCGGAUUUACUGGGCGUAAAGGGCGUGUAGGCGGUCUUGCAAGUCAGAAGUGAAAUUCCUGAGCUCAACUCGGGCGCUGCUUCUGAAACUGCAGGACUUGAGUGCUGGAGGGGAUAGCGGAAUUCCUAGUGGAGCGGUAAAAUGCGCAGAUAUUAGGAAGAACACCGGUGGCGAAGGCGGCUAUCUGGACAGUAACUGCAACUGAGGCGCGAAAGCGUGGAGAGCAAACAGGAUUAGAUACCCUGGAAGUCCACGCCGUAAACGAUGAAUACUAGGUGUAGGGGGUAUCGACUCCCUCUGUGCCGCAGUUAACACAAUAAGUAUUCCGCCUGGGGAGUACGGCCGCAAGGUUGAAACUCAAAGGAAUUGACGGGG